rnacentral:rRNA from 1 species
AUUGAACGCUGGCGGCAGGCUUAACACAUGCAAGUCGAGCGGGCGAGGUUGCUUCGGUAACUUAGCUAGCGGCGGACGGGUGAGUAAUGCUUAGGAAUCUGCCUAUUAGUGGGGGACAACAUUUCGAAAGGGAUGCUAAUACCGCAUACGUCCUAUGGGAGAAAGCAGGGGCUCUUUAUGACCUUGCGCUAAUAGAUGAGCCUAAGUCGGAUUAGCUAGUUGGUGGGGUAAAGGCCUACCAAGGCGACGAUCUGUAGCGGGGCUGAGAGGAUGAUCCGCCACACGGGGACUGAGACACGGCCCAGACUCCUACGGGAGGCAGCAGUGGGGAAUAUUGGACAAUGGGGGGAACCCUGAUCCAGCCAUGCCGCGUGUGUGAAGAAGGCCUUUUGGUUGUAAAGCACUUUAAGUGGGGAGGAGGCUUACCUGGUUAAUACCUGGGCUAAGUGGACGUUACCCACAGAAUAAGCACCGGCUAACUCUGUGCCACCAGCCGCCGUAACAC